rnacentral:misc_RNA from 1 species
CUUCAUGGCUGUCUCCUGUG